GCUUGCGUACAGUAACGGUAACUGCCCGGUCUUGAAAACCGAGAGAGGAUGAAAGUCCUUGGGGGUUCAAAUCCUCCCGCAAGCGCCA
rnacentral:tRNA from 1 species